AGAGUUUGAUCCUGGCUCAGGACGAACGCUGGCGGCGUGCCUAACACAUGCAAGUCGAACGGGGUUGAGUGCUUCGGUAUUCAACCUAGUGGCGAACGGGUGAGUAACGCGUGAAGAACCUGCCUUUCAGUGGGGGACAACAGUUGGAAACGACUGCUAAUACCGCAUGACACUUCUGAGUGGCAUCACUUAGAAGUCAAAGCUUAAUGUGCUGAAAGAUGGCUUCGCGUCUGAUUAGCUAGAUGGCGGGGUAACGGCCCACCAUGGCGACGAUCAGUAGCCGGUCUGAGAGGAUGAACGGCCACAUUGGGACUGAGAUACGGCCCAGACUCCUACGGGAGGCAGCAGUGGGGAAUAUUGGGCAAUGGGGGAAACCCUGACCCAGCAACGCCGCGUGAAGGAAGAAGGCCUUCGGGUUGUAAACUUCUUUUACCAGGGACGAAGGACGUGACGGUACCUGGAGAAAAAGCAACGGCUAACUACGUGCCAGCAGCCGCGGUAAUACGUAGGUUGCAAGCGUUGUCCGGAUUUACUGGGUGUAAAGGGCGUGUAGGCGGAGAUGCAAGUUGGGAGUGAAAUCCCGGGGCUCAACCCCGGAACUGCUUUCAAAACUGUAUUCCUUGAGUAUCGGAGAGGCAAGCGGAAUUCCUAGUGUAGCGGUGAAAUGCGUAGAUAUUAGGAGGAACACCAGUGGCGAAGGCGGCUUGCUGGACGACAACUGACGCUGAGGCGCGAAAGCGUGGGGAGCAAACAGGAUUAGAUACCCUGGUAGUCCACGCUGUAAACGAUGAAUAGUAGGUGUGGGAGGAAUGACCCUUUCCGUGCGGCAGUUAACACAAUAAGUAUUCCACCUGGGGAGUACGACCGCAAGGUUGAAACUCAAAGGAAUUGACGGGGGCCCGCACAAGCAGUGGAUUAUGUGGUUUAAUUGGACGCAACGCGAAGAACCUUACCAGGAUUUGACAUCCCAAUAACGAAGUAGAGAUACAUUAGGUGCCCUUCGGGGAAAGUGGAGACAGGUGGUGCAUGAUAGUCGUCAGCUCGUCUCGUGAGAUGAUGGGUUAAGUCCUGCAACGAGCGCAACCCCUAUUGAUAGUUGCUACGAAAGAGCACUUUAGCGAGACUGCCGUUGACAACACGGAGGAAGGCGGGGACGACGUCAAAUCAUCAUGCCCGUUAUGUCAUGGGCUACACACGUAAUACAAUGGUGGCCAACGAGAGGGAAGCAAGACUGUGAAGUGGAGCAAAUCCCUAAAAGCCAUCUCAGUUCGGAUUACAGGCUGCAAAUCGCCUGCAUGAAGGUGGAAAUGCUAGUAAUCGCGGAUCAGCAUGCCGCGGAGAAUACGUUCACCGGGCCUUGUACACACCGCCCGUC
rnacentral:rRNA from 1 species